CGUGGGUAACCUGCCCAAGAGAUCGGGAUAACACCUGGAAACAGAUGCUAAUACCGGAUAACAACAGAUGAUGCCUAUCAACUGUUUAAAAGAUGGUUCUGCUAUCACUCUUGGAUGGACCUGCGGUGCAUUAGCUAGUUGGUAGGGUAACGGCCUACCAAGGCGAUGAUGCAUAGCCGAGUUGAGAGACUGAUCGGCCACAUUGGGACUGAGACACGGCCCAAACUCCUACGGAGGCAGCAGGU
rnacentral:rRNA from 1 species